GAUGCACGCUGGCGGCGUGCCUAAUACAUGCAAGUCGAGCGAAGAGGGGACGGGCGAGUAACACGUGGAUAACCUCCUAUACGACUGGGAUAACUUCGGGAAACCAGCGCUAAACCGGAUAUUUGUAGCUUGAUCUACGCUGCAUUGGCUAGUUGGUAAGGUAACGGCUUACCAAGUCAACGAUGCAUAGCCGACCUGAGAGGGUGAUCGGCCAUACUGGUGCUGAGACACGGUCCAGACUCCGACGUGAGGCAGCCGUAGGGAAUCUGCCGCAAUGGGGGAAAGCCUGACAGAGCAAUGCCGCGGGAGUGAUGAAGGUCUUCGGAUCGUAAAACUCUGUUAUUAGGGAAGCGGUACCUAAUCAGAAAGCCACGGCUAACUACGUGCCAGCAGCCGCGGUAAUUC
rnacentral:rRNA from 1 species